rnacentral:lncRNA from 1 species
GCUAAUUCACCUUAAAACCUUAAUCCAAAGUUAGUUACAAACCCUGAGGUAGGUUAAUUUUCGUGAUUGGUUAAUUGAUUUAUUUCGUUUGUUUAUUUUUCUUUUUUUUAUGUUUUUCCGUUAUUUAUUUAUUUUUAUUCUCAUAAUCUAUUUUAUGAUUCAUAGUAAUAUAGAAAAUAAUUAGUACUAUUUAGAAUUAUUAUUGUAAAAAGUAUUUUCAUAGUUUAUUUCAUCUUCAUUUGGGAAUGAUCC